ensembl:lncRNA
AUGGGGCUCCACUCGCAUCUGAAGAUGUCGCUGCGACACCAAGGGCCGCCACUCCUGGGAAAGCACGGUGUGGAUGGGAAUCACGCACACAGUUUCUGCCUUAGGGAAAAGCGCUGGAGAGAGAGCACUGGACGAGGAGUCAGGGACCCAGGGGGCAAUGUGUCCUGGGCCCGCGGGUCUUGGCUGUCUGUUUCCUGUGUGCCUCGGUCUCCCCAUCUGCCCGGGAGUGAUGGCCUGCCGUGCUGGUUACACCUUGGGGAGAUGAGGGGCUGGCCCAGUGGUGACGUCAUCCCCGCUGCACCUCUGUCUUCAGCCCUACAAGUGGAGCAGGUGUUGGGCCUGGUGGUUAAGCAUCCGCAGCCAGCGCCGGAGUCCCUGGGUUCGACUCCUGACUCAGCAGCUUCCUGCAGAACCCCCCGGGGGGGGGGAUGGAGAGCUGUGGUCAGGUCCUGGCCACCAGUGCGGGAGACCUGGCCUGAGUUCCCAGCUCCUGGCUGCAGCCACAGCGCAGCUCCAGGCAGCCAUGGUGCCCGUCUGGGGAAUGAACUAGAAGAUGGAGUGCUCUCUCUCUCUCUUGCUCUCACUCUCCCUCUCCCUCUUACUCUCUUCCUCCCUCUCAAAUAAACUAAUUUUAAAUUUUGUGAAUGAUUAUAACAGGGCUGCUGGCCAUUGCACUUGCUGCAGAGGAACACCUCUGACCUCCAUGGCUGCUGGUGCCUGGCGGGCAGUCUGCCCCCACCCCCACCCCCACCCGGGUUCAUGGCCAUGAGGCAGGGAGCUCCACUGGGUCCACCACUCAGAUCCCGCAGCCCUGGCUCACUCAUGGCUCUCAUAUUAGCAGCCCCUACCUUGCACACCACACAGGCCUGGAGAACCCGGGUCCCCAGUCCCACCCCACCCAGAGGAGCAACCACUCCUGUCCCCUCGUCCUGCUCCUGGGCUGGGAUGCCGGGCAGUGAGCAGGGUGCUGGCUAGGGUGCUCCUGGGGUCAGGUCGGGUGCUCCCAGGGUCAGGUCGGGAAGGGAGCAAGAUGAGGCCGCAGGAGAAGCCAGGCCACCCCCAGGCUGUGUUAAGGAAGGCCAAGCCCCACGUUGCAAGGAAACACCUUCAGAGUGUCUCCACUAGGAAGGCAGGUGCAGCCUUGACCUUGCUGCCCCAGCCAGCCAUAGGUGGUGUCCACUCUUCCCGGCAGGGCCGUGGCCCCGGGGGAUUCCGCGCCUGGCUUGGUGGCAUGCUAACCGGCAGGCCGGGACUGGCUGCAGCUGACUCACCCUCUUCACCUUCCCUCGCCCGGGGGCUGGGUCCUGUCCUGGGCGAGCAGCUCGGGGCCUCUCCUAGCCCUCAUGGCUGCUCCUCACUGUGCUUUUAGGUAUAAAAACCGGGACUGUUUCUCAGAUUGGAGCAAGGACAGCUAGGGCUCAUGGAACUAGAAAAUCCAGCAAGGACACUUUCAGGUAAGGCUGGAUCCAGGGUCAAAGCAUCCCCAGGGCUGUGUCUUCUGCUCCCAGCUCCACUCCCAGGCAGCUGUCAUGCCGUGCUACCCUCCACGGAGGCAGAACCUGUCGGCAGACUCCAGUCCCCACCCCGGGACCCAGUGUCAGGGUGUGGAAGGUGCAAGGCUCCC